rnacentral:ncRNA from 1 species
GGGCUACUCCAAUUUUAAAUUACAUCACUAAUUUAAUAUAGGCCCGUCUCCCCGUAAAAAAGGAGGAGACCAAAAUCCGCCGGGCCGGCGGUGCGGCAGUGUGGAGACCUGCCGUAAAGCAUACGGGGUUUUGCUCUCCGUGUGCAAGACUGUACUUGCGGAGGCAUUGCAGUCACGGCCUGUGUACAUGGCA